rnacentral:rRNA from 1 species
GACGAACGCUGGCGGCGUGCUUAACACAUGCAAGUCGAACGGAAAGGCCCUGCUUUUGUUGGGUGCUCGAUUGGCGAACGGGUGAGUAACACGUGAGUAACCUGCCCUUGACUUUGGGAUAACUUCAGGAAACUGGGGCUAAUACCCGAUAGGAUCUCCUGCUGCAUGGUGGUGGUUGGAAAGUUUCGGCGGUUGGGUAUGGACUCGCGGCUUAUCAGCUUGUUGGUGGGGUAGUGGCUUACCAAGGCUUUGACGGGUAGCCGGCCUGAGAGGGUGACCGGCCACAUUGGGACUGAGAUACGGCCCAGACUGCUACGGGAGGCAGCAGUGGGGACUAUUGCACAAUGGGCGGAAGCCGGAUGCAGCAACGCCGCGUGCGGGAUGACGGCCUUCGGGUUGUAAACCGCUUUCGCCUGUGACGAAGCGUGAGUGACGGUAAUGGGUAAAGAAGCACCGGCUAACUACGUG